rnacentral:rRNA from 1 species
CAACUUUCAACAACGGAUCUCUUGGCUCUCGCAUCGAUGAAGAACGCAGCGAAAUGCGAUAAGUAAUGUGAAUUGCAGAAUUCAGUGAAUCAUCGAAUCUUUGAACGCACCUUGCGCUCCUUGGUAUUCCGAGGAGCAUGCCUGUUUGAGUGUCACGA